CUUGUAAUGAGGGAAGCUCGCAAGAGCAAGGAUACAGGUGGUGCAUGGUUGUCGUCAGCUCGUGUCGUGAGAUGUUGGGUUAAGUCCCGCAACGAGCGCAACCCUUGUUGUUAAUUGCUAACAGGUUAAGCUGAGCACUUUAGCGAGACAGCCUAGGUUAACUAGGAGGAAGGUGGGGAUGACGUCAAAUCAUCAUGCCCCUUACGUUUAGGGCUACACACGUGCUACAAUGGUGAGAACAGAGAGAAGCAAGCUAGUGAUAGUGAGCAAAACUUAUAAAACUCAUCUCAGUUCGGAUUGCAGGCUGAAACUCGCCUGUAUGAAGAUGGAGUUGCUAGUAAUCGCGAAUCAGAAUGUCGCGGUGAAUACGUUCCCGGGUCUUGUACACACCGCCCGUCACACCAUGAGAGUUGGCAACACCCGAAACCUGUGGGCUAACCAUAUAGGAGGCAGCAGUCUAAGGUGGGGUCAGUGAUUGGGGUGAAGUCGUAACAAGGUAGCCGUAGGAGAACCUGCGGUUGGAUCACC
rnacentral:rRNA from 1 species